GACGAACGCUGGCGGCGUGCUUAACACAUGCAAGUCGAACGGAAAGGCCCUGCUUGCAGGGUGCUCGAGUGGCGAACGGGUGAGUAACACGUGGGUGAUCUGCCCCUUACUUUGGGAUAAGCCUGGGAAACUGGGUCUAAUACUGGAUAGGACCAUGCUGUAGGUGGUGUGGUGGAAAGAUUAGUUUCGGUAAGGGAUGAGCUCGCGGCCUAUCAGCUUGUUGGUGGGGUAAUGGCCUACCAAGGCGUCGACGGGUAGCCGGCCUGAGAGGGUGGACGGCAACAUUGGGACUGAGAUACGGCCCAGACUCCUACGGGAGGCAGCAGUGGGGAAUAGUGCACAAUGGGCGCAAGCCGGAUGCAGCGACGCCGCGUGGGUGAUGACGGCCUUCGGGUUGUAAACUCCUUCCAGCCAUGACGAAGCCCUUGUGGUGACGGUAGUGGUAGAAGAAGCACCGGCUAACUACGUG
rnacentral:rRNA from 1 species